GGGGAUGUAGCUCAAUUGGUAGAGCAUUAAUCAAAGCUGAUAAAAGGUAAGGGGUUUGACUUCUCACAUCUCCA
rnacentral:tRNA from 1 species